UUGAUAGUACCUUACUACUUGGAUAACCGUGGUAAUUCUAGAGCUAAUACAUGCUAAAAACCCCAACUUCGGGAGGGGUGUAUUUAUUAGAUAAAAAACCAACGCCCUUCGGGGCUUCUUGGUGAUUCAUGAUAACUUUACGGAUCGCAUGGCCUUGCGCCGGCGACGGUUCAUUCAAAUUUCUGCCCUAUCAACUUUCGAUGGUAAGGUAUUGGCUUACCAUGGUUUCAACGGGUAACGGGGAAUUAGGGUUCGAUUCCGGAGAGGGAGCCUGAGAAACGGCUACCACAUCCAAGGAAGGCAGCAGGCGCGCAAAUUACCCAAUCCCGACACGGGGAGGUAGUGACAAUAAAUACUGAUACAGGGCUCUUUUGGGUCUUGUAAUUGGAAUGAGUACAAUUUAAACCUCUUAACGAGGAACAAUUGGAGGGCAAGUCUGGUGCCAGCAGCCGCGGUAAUUCCAGCUCCAAUAGCGUAUAUUAAAGUUGUUGCAGUUAAAAAGCUCGUAGUUGAAACUUGGGUCUGGCUGGCAGGUCCGCCUCACCGCGUGUACUUGUCCGGCCGGGCCUUCCUUCUGGAGAACCUCAUGCCCUUCACUGGGCGUGUUGGGGACCAGGACUUUUACUUUGAAAAAAUUAGAGUGUUCAAAGCAGGCCUUUGCUCGAAUACGUUAGCAUGGAAUAAUAGAAUAGGACGUGCGGUCCUAUUUUGUUGGUUUCUAGGACCGCCGUAAUGAUUAAUAGGGACAGUCGGGGGCAUCAGUAUUCAAUUGUCAGAGGUGAAAUUCUUGGAUUUAUUGAAGACUAACUACUGCGAAAGCAUUUGCCAAGGAUGUUUUCAUUAAUCAGUGAACGAAAGUUAGGGGAUCGAAGACGAUCAGAUACCGUCGUAGUCUUAACCGUAAACUAUGCCGACUAGGGAUCGGGCGAUGUUCUUUUUCUGACUCGCUCGGCACCUUACGAGAAAUCAAA
rnacentral:rRNA from 1 species